rnacentral:rRNA from 1 species
UGAGGAAUAUUGGUCAAUGGGCGAGAGCCUGAACCAGCCAAGUCGCGUGAGGGAAGACGGUCCUACGGAUUGUAAACCUCUUUUGUUCGGGGAGCAAUAAAGCGUACGCGUACGCAGAUGCGAGUACCCGAAGAAAAAGCAUCGGCUAACUCCGUGCC